CAUGUAGGCGGAUUAAUAAGUUUGAAGUGAAAUCCUAUAGCUUAACUAUAGAACUGCUUUGAAAACUGUUAAUCUAGAAUGUGGGAGAGGUAGAUGGAAUUUCUGGUGUAGGGGUAAAAUCCGUAGAGAUCAGAAGGAAUACCGAUUGCGAAGGCGGGUAACUGGACUGCAACUGACGCUGAGGCGCGAAAGUGUGGGGAGCAAACA
rnacentral:rRNA from 1 species